GCUGCAGGGAUGGCGCAUGCGCUUAUGGAGAACUCCCGCGGACAGACGCAGGCGCAGACGUAGACGCAGGUGCUGAGCGGCGUCCCUUACUGGUAUAAGAAUGGCAGUGGAAUCAUCAGAAGGAUCUUUGAUAAUGCGGCUUCCUGCCUGUCCAAAACAAGAGUGCUCAUACAGCAGGAAAUUCAGUCAUCCAAGGAUCUUUCUGCAAAGCCCAUCUAUGUAAGUAUAGGGAGUUUUUGUACUCCCUUCCCAUUACUUCUAUAACAUCAUCUUUUCUCAGUCAUCCCUAUCUUGGUUAUUAGCAUCAUCAUUCACAUAAAUGAUAAAGCCAAAAACCUCAUCAAUCUUGUUUCCCUUCUUCCUGGCUUCUCACAACAAAUCCAUCAGUGAAUCUGUUUGACCAAACCUCCUAAAUAUUUCCCAAUUCCAAUAACCUCUCACCACCUUCACUCUUACCUUUAUUUACUUUAUUGGACUAUAGUAAAAGCCUCCUAACUGAUAAACCUGGCCCUGGGAUCGAGCCCCGCAUUGGGCUCUCUGCUCAGCAGGGAGCCUGCUUCCUCUUCUCUCUCUGCCUGCCUGUCUGCCUACUUGUGAUCUCUGUCUGUCAAAUAAAUAAAUAAAGUCUUUUUUAAAAAAAAUAAGCAUUUCAGUCCUUUCACCACUUAAAGAUUUUAGGAUAUAAGGAUGUAAGAUUAGUGAGGAAAUUAAUUGCAAAUAGCUCAGAAUUUGCUUUUAUUUUAGUAUUAUUUUCAAUGGAAUCCAUAGAUUCCAUAGAAUUUCUGGGGGUACCUGGGUGGCUCAGUGGGUUAAGCCUCUGUCUUUGGCUCAGGUCAUGAUCUCAGGGCCCUGGGAUCAAGCCACACAUUGGGCUCUCUGCUCAGCAGGGAACCUCCUUCCCCCUCCCCCGCCUCUCUGCCAGACUCUCUGCCUACUUGUGAUCUCUAUCUCUGUCAAAUAAAUAAAUAAAAUCUUAAAAAAAAAAAGAAUUUCUAGUGAUAUGGAUGAACAUUGAUUAUACAGUCUAUGAGAAAAACAGGUAGAAUUUUAAAAUGCUUUAGAGGUGUUUGGUUGGUUCAGUCGGUAGAGCAUGCAACUCUUCAUCCCUUAAUCUUGUGCGUUCAACCCCCACAUUGGGCAAGGA